CUUCGACAAGUAAAAACAUGAUGAGAAACAUUAAUCAAAUUGGCAUUACUAUGUUAUUAUUUUCCAUCAUCCUGACUGCAUAUGCUAAUAAUUACAGUCAGUGCUUUGAUGUUUUAAAUAAAUAUACGUGGAGUCAAAUCAAUAAUAUUUAUCAAUUUAAAGUUGAAAAUGUGGCAAAUACAUCACCAGCAAAUACAGUAUUUGAGUGUUACUUAAAAGAAACUCGAAAGGAGGGCGUUAAAUCAGAUGUUGAAAAACAUUACGAUGUGUAUAAAAAAUGCAAUGAAUACAAGAAACUCAAAUUGCCUAGUAUUGAACUCAAGCAUGUUGACGAGCUUGAAAACAUUGGUUUACCUAUGUAUUUGGACAAUCAUGUACGAGACCGCAUUAACCAUGAUGAUAGAAAUGCGAAUGAAAUUAUAAAAUACAUUCAGGAUGAUUUGGGCAAGAAGAUAGAGAUGAGUGAUCCAUAUAAUAAAUAUAGAAAAUUGGUACAUGACAAACUGACAACUGUCAAAAAAUCUGGCCAAAAGUCUCUUGCUGCUGAAUUUUCAAUUGUAUUUGUUGUUAUGAUAGCAUUUCUAUUAAAAUAUUGAAUAUUUUAGUUAAAUUUAUAUUAAGAUUUCAAUCGACUUGAAUUUUUGAUGUAAAAGUGAAUUUGAAAUAAAAUUAAUAUAAAAUGUA